rnacentral:rRNA from 1 species
AUUGAACGCUGGCGGCAGGCCUAACACAUGCAAGUCGAGCGGAUGACGGGAGCUUGCUCCUUGAUUCAGCGGCGGACGGGUGAGUAAUGCCUAGGAAUCUGCCUGGUAGUGGGGGACAACGUUUCGAAAGGAACGCUAAUACCGCAUACGUCCUACGGGAGAAAGCAGGGGACCUUCGGGCCUUGCGCUAUCAGAUGAGCCUAGGUCGGAUUAGCUAGUAGGUGAGGUAAUGGCUCACCUAGGCGACGAUCAGUAACUGGUCUGAGAGGAUGAUCAGUCACACUGGAACUGAGACACGGUCCAGACUCCUACGGGAGGCAGCAGUGGGGAAUAUUGGACAAUGGGCGAAAGCCUGAUCCAGCCAUGCCGCGUGUGUGAAGAAGGUCUUCGGAUUGUAAAGCACUUUAAGUUGGGAGGAAGGGCAGUAAGUUAAUACCUUGCUGUUUUGACGUUACCGACAGAAUAAGCACCGGCUAACUCUGUGCCAGCAGCCGCCGUAAAAC